UACGUAGGGGGCAAGCGUUGUCCGGAAUUAUUGGGCGUAAAGAGCGUGUAGGCGGCCAGAUAAGUCCGCUGUGAAAUCUCGAGGCUCAACUUCGAGCUGUCGGUGGAAACUAUCUGGCUAGAGUCCGGAAGAGGAGAAUGGAAUUCCUGGUGUAGCGGUGAAAUGCGCAGAUAUCAGGAGGAACACCGGUGGCGAAGGCGGCCCUCUGGACGGUGACUGACGCUGAGACGCGAAAGCGUGGGGAGCAAACAGG
rnacentral:rRNA from 1 species